rnacentral:rRNA from 1 species
UGGGGAAUCUUGGACAAUGGGCGCAAGCCUGAUCCAGUCAUGCCGCGUGAGUGAAGAAGGUCUUCGGCUUGUAAAGCUCUUUUGCCAGGGACGAUACUGAAGGUACCUGGAGAAUAAGACCCGGCAAAAUUCGUGACAGCAGCCGAGGUACUACGAAGGGGGCUAGCGUUGUUCGGCAUUACUGGGCGUAAAGCGCACGUAGGCGGGUUGGUCGGGCCGGGGUGGAAUCCCGGGGCUGAACUCCGGGCC